GACGAACGCUGGCGGCGUGCUUAACACAUGCAAGUCGAACGGAAAGGCCUCUUUCGGGUGGUACUCUAGUGGCGAACGGGGGAGUAACACGCGAGUAACCUCCCCUCUACUUUGUGAUAACUUCAGAGAACUGGGGCUAAUACCCGAUAGGAGCUCCUGCUGCGCGGUGGGGGUUGGGAAGUUUCUGGGGGUGGGGAGAGGCUCGCGGCUCAUCAGGUUGUUUGUGGGGUAUUGGCUUACCAAGGCUUUGUCGGGUAUCCGGCCUGAGAGGGUGACCGGCCCCCUUGGGGCUGAGAUAAGGCCCAGACUCCUACGGGAGGCAGGAGUGGGGAAUAUUGCACAAUGGGUGGAAGCCUGAUGCAGCAACGCCGGGUGCGGGAAGACGGGCUUCGGGUUGUAAACCGCUUUCGCUCAUGACGAAGCUGUGUGUGACGGUAGUGGGUAAAGAAGCACCGGCUAACUACGUG
rnacentral:rRNA from 1 species